rnacentral:rRNA from 1 species
AUUGAACGCUGGCGGCAGGCCUAACACAUGCAAGUCGAGCGGUAGCACAAGGGAGCUUGCUCCCCGGGUGACGAGCGGCGGACGGGUGAGUAAUGUCUGGGAAACUGCCUGAUGGAGGGGGAUAACUACUGGAAACGGUAGCUAAUACCGCAUAACGUCGCAAGACCAAAGUGGGGGACCUUCGGGCCUCACGCCAUCGGAUGUGCCCAGAUGGGAUUAGCUAGUAGGUGGGGUAACGGCUCACCUAGGCGACGAUCCCUAGCUGGUCUGAGAGGAUGACCAGCCACACUGGAACUGAGACACGGUCCAGACUCCUACGGGAGGCAGCAGUGGGGAAUAUUGCACAAUGGGCGCAAGCCUGAUGCAGCCAUGCCGCGUGUAUGAAGAAGGCCUUCGGGUUGUAAAGCACUUUCAGCGAGGAGGAAGGCGUGAAGGUUAAUAACCUUGACGAUUGACGUUACUCGCAGAAGAAGCACCGGCUAACUCCGUGCCAGCAGCCGCCGUAA